rnacentral:rRNA from 1 species
AAUGAACGCUGGCGGCAGGCCUAACACAUGCAAGUCGGACGAGGCAGCAAUGCCUAGUGGCGGACGGGUGAGUAACGCGUGGGAACGUGCCCCUUUCUACGGAAUAGCCUCGGGAAACUGGGAGUAAUACCGUAUAAGCCCGCAAGAGGAAAGAUUUAUCGGGAAGGGAUCGGCCCGCGUUGGAUUAGGUAGUUGGGGGGGUAAUGGCCUACCAAGCCGACGAUCCAUCGCUGGUUUGAGAGGAUGAUCAGCCACACUGGGACUGAGACACGGCCCAGACUCCUACGGGAGGCAGAAGUGGGGAAUCUUAGACAAUGGGGGAAACCCUGCUCUAGCCAUGCCGCGUGAUCGAUGAAGGCCUUAGGGUUGUAAAGAUCUUUCAGUGGGGAAGAUAAUGACGGUACCCACAGAAGAAGCCCCGGCUAACUCCGUGCCAGCCGCCGCGGUAA